CACUAAGUAAUAUAUAUAUAUAUAUAUAUAUAUAUAUAUAACUAGGCUGAAAUACUAUCAAUAGCACCAAGCUAUCGGUGCUAUUAAUUUUUUAGCUCUUGGAUUGAGAAAUGUGUGAUUAGGAUAAUGUGGGCCCCCUAGGGUUGAGUGGAUGGUUGGUUGAAUAGUAUAAUUUAAUAGAUAAAAAUAAUUAAAUGAUUAAAUUUAAUGGUAGAAAACUUGAUAGUACUAAGCUCGUGAUGCUAUCGAUAGUAUCCCAAUCGGACUAUAUAUAUAUAUAUAUAUAUAUAUACACACACACUAAUAAAAUCUCAUCAGAGACAGUUCACGUGGCUCAACACU
rnacentral:lncRNA from 1 species